AUCCAACUGACGAGUUCCAAAUAAGACGAAACGUGCUUGCUGGAU
rnacentral:hammerhead_ribozyme from 1 species